rnacentral:rRNA from 1 species
AUUGAACGCUGGCGGCAGGCUUAACACAUGCAAGUCGAGCGGAGAUGAGGUGCUUGCACCUUAUCUUAGCGGCGGACGGGUGAGUAAUGCUUAGGAAUCUGCCUAUUAGUGGGGGACAACAUUCCGAAAGGAAUGCUAAUACCGCAUACGUCCUACGGGAGAAAGCAGGGGAUCUUCCGACCUUGCGCUAAUAGAUGAGCCUAGGUCGGAUUAGCUAGUUGGUGGGGUAGAGGCCUACCAAGGCGACGAUCUGUAGCGGGUGUGAGAGGAUGAUCCGCCACACUGGGACUGAGACACGGCCCAGACUGCUACGGGAGGCAGCAGUGGGGAAUAUUGGACAAGGGGGGGAACCCUGAUCCAGCCAUGCCGCGUGUGUGAAGAAGGCCUUAUGGUUGUAAAGCACUUUAAGCGAGGAGGAGGCUACUGAGACUAAUACUCUUGGAUAGUGGACGUUACUCGCAGAAUAAGCACCGGCUAACUCUGUGCCAGCCGCCGCAGUAAAAC